GUCCCAGAACUGAUGUUCUCCGAUCCUUUGGGGCCUUAAUUCCACAUCCCAGGCCGGUACCGCAGGGGCCCCCUGCCCUACCCAGCAAACCCUAAGGGUAGGCGCAUGCCGUAGAGCGGUCUGUCGGUUUGGUGGCGAGAAGCCGGAUCACGCAGCAACUGCAACACGGAAGAGGGCUCGGGCGACGUCGCGUGAGGACAACAGCGCAGUGGUGUGAGGACGCAGCCGGCCUUCG